rnacentral:rRNA from 1 species
GGUCGGGUGGCUAUAUAAAACAUCUCGUUUAGUUUAUCCGCCGGCUCGCUUCGUCUCCGGUUCGCUUUGUCUCGUUGACGGUCGUCGUCGUCGGCCUGCUUAGAAGGAGGGAGGAGAGCGAGCUAGGGUGGUUGGUGAUGAUUAAGAAUCAGAUGACGGAUGACGGAUGCGUGUAGUCUCGUCCUUGGUCUCGUGGUCCAAGGGCCGCUACCGCAGCAGCAGCAGCAGCUGCAGCGCGCACAGCUGCCGCGCCGCCGGCGACGCCACAGAGGGGCGCCCCGCGCGGCGGUUACCUCGGCGCCGCCGCCGCCACGACCCCGACGGCUCCUCCCUCCGCGCCCACUGAGACGCCCGCCCGCGAGCCGCCUCGUAGCGCCGGCGCCGCACCCGCCUCCGCCCACAGCGCGGCACCUCGUCCCCCUCGCCGUCCCCCUUCCUCCGCCGCUGCCGCACGCGCCGCCGCCCGGUCCACCGCCCCUGCUCGCGGCGGCCCCGGCCCCACCCCCCGUCCUCGUAGCCCUGCCUGCACCGGGAGCGGUGCCGGCGGCACCAGCGGUGCCCGUGCCGCUUGGCGCAGGAGAUGUUCGAGCGGGAGCACGGCGAGGCGGUCAUGGGGAAGAAGGAGCGCGUCAAGCGGUGCAAGCCGAUACACCAACAGAUGAAGAGUUAGGACAAAAAAGCAAUAGUUCGACCGGUACACUGCCUACUCUACGAAAGAGAUGGUGUCUUUGGAAAAUAUGAGUAUCCGGAGAACCUCCGAGAUCGUCGUCGUCGUCCCUACAGACGACCUCGAUAAGAAAGACCACGAAGUUAUGGUUAUAAUAGUGUCUGGAUAGAACAUACCGUCGAACAAAACAGACGAUAAAAGGAUUUCUCCGCGAUAUCUGAAUUACUCUAUUGUCCUACGAAAGAUCACUGUCAACCACACCAUUAUUGACAUCGUUCACCUUGACCACGACCACGAAGUGAUGUUUCAUGACCUUAAAACACCGGUGACGAUUACUAUUAUAGUAAGAAAGACGUUCGACGACUGUGACAUAACUUCCUCUAUUAUAAAUAUCUACGACGGUUCUUAAACUUCCCACCGAGUCAACUAGAAAAACAACAGUUGAGCAUACCGAGACGAAUAGUUCGAUAAAAAUACACAGAGAACGAAGGUAAGAACAGUUUCAAUACCCCAUAAGGUAAGGUAGAUGAUGGUUGUAUGUAGUCUCUACCACGUCGGACGAAAGAUUUAUACCCUAGUAAUAGACGACCGACACUUCCCCGUGGUGACGAUGGCGAUGAUAAACACAACCAAUUAUACCCUAAGUUAUAUAGAAACGAUGUGGACGACUUCUAAAGAAGCCGACAACGUAGAACAGAUCGGAGAUGUAAGAGUCAGGGCGACAGCUAGAUGCGAAAGUGGGAUGGCGACGGCAUGUAGCCACACCGCAGCUGGGAGGGAGGACCGAAACAACGUCCGCGACGUCAAGAGUAGCGGCCGAAUGAUUACGUACCGGAAGGCGUCGGUCUUUUAACGCCCCUUUCGGUCCUUACUGAUCGAUUAAUCGUACGUAACGAAGCAUAAGAUGUAUUCGUACGGACCCGAACUUUCCGUCUCGUCUUCAAGAGGACUCUCGGUGGACUGGACUGACAACAUACAACACACCAUCGUACAGUAUAUAGCUCAAUAUAGGUUAUUUUCGCUCCUCUUCGGCGUACCCAUGUAUCUGUUCUUAUUUUUCCAACUCUCGUUCGUCCUCUAUGGAGAGAAACACAUAAGAGAGGAUGACUAUGACUCUGCCCGUGAGCGUCAAACACCUCCCCUCCUCUCGGUCCCUCUUCUCGUCCUCGUAGUAGUGGUGUCCCUGCUUCUCGUCCUUCCGGCCGCCGCCGCCGUCGCCCCCGUCGUGGUUGCCCUCCGUGUCCUCGUAGCGGCGGCGGCGGUCGUUCUAGUAGUCGUCCUGCGGAGACAGGUAGACCCGGGCAUGACCGAAGAGAUCACCUACAAGUAGAGAAUGAGACACACAAAACAACCCAAGGAACCUUCUCCUUCUUGAGAACACGACCUCCCCCUUAUACUUACAACGAAACACACCCUCUGUUGAUCGACCACGUAGAAACUAAGAAACGAGGAGACGCCACUUAUAUAUAACCACACUACCACCACCCACCGGGAGAAAGACCCUCCGGCUCCUACGGCCACCCCUGCCUGUCAACCUCUCCCGUACGUACCCCACCCGGCCAGUGACGGACGACGAAACAAAUGGCUGUUAUUGUGUUCGCCAUUAGGUCAGGGAGACUACAGUCUAAUCGGCGUAAUAAUGAGAGGUGACAAAGGACCCUUUGCGGCCUAAAACAAUGUCAUGAAAACCGCUGGAGCCCAAACAGGGAAGGUCCCUCAUGAUCU